UUGGAGCUCUGCCUCCACGCAGCUCGCUCCAGAGUUCCCUUUGCAGGGUUUCUGAAAGACUUUUAACUAAAUGUCUCUCCCUUCGUUGGCUUUGAGGUUUGUCAGAACAAAAAGAAUUCCAUUUGGCUUUGAGGCAGAUUUGAAGGACAGCAGCUCUCCCCAGGACCCAGCUCCUAGCUGGCAGGGAUGGUUUUCUGCUUUGUUUGUCCCACUGUGAAGACUGUCGGACAUGGAGGGAACCGAGAGGGAAAAUUCACAAUUUUUAUUCCAAGACCCUUCAUUGGAGGAUUGCAUUGUGCCCAGGUUUUUCUCUGGCUAUUGCUCACUUGUUAGAGAAAGGGAAGGGGACGUUCCUUCCAGAAAACCCUGAGCUUCAUGUCAAGGUUUUGCUGCAAAUUGCUUGAGUGAAAUAGCACUUUUAGAAAGACGUGAUUUUUCAGCUUUGGCAGUUAUCAUUCUGGAGAGUCCUUUCCAAGGGACAGUCCUAAGCCCAGGCUCAACAAAGAUAAGGUUGGCCUCCAUUUGCCAGGGAGACCAAGAACACCCACUAUGAAGACUUUCCAACAUGGAGGAUCCUAGAACUAAAAUUCACAGUUUCCUCAUUCUUCAUGAACUGAUCUCCUGCAAGGCCUCUUCCACUCCUUCACAGUUGCUGCUGCAGUCUCCGUCUCUGGUUAUUUAUUCCACAGAGUUUUUGUCCCAUGGGAUGGAGGAGGUCUCCCUCUGGUUAUGUCCAAAGCCCCACACACCAGUGUGAACAUCAUUUCCAAAACAUGGCUACAAAUCUCUCCAGUGCUCCUGGAGUGUUUACACUGCCCAUGAACCUAAAGCCUGUUGUAGGACUUGAACCUGUGAUCGCAGAGAUUCCAGCACUAUGCCCUGACCUGGACUGAUGCUACCCAUGAAACUUCCUAACACCAGAACUCCAGCCAAGAGGAGAUUGUAGCAAGGGCACCUCAGGAAUCUGACUCCGCUACAAUUCAUCCACAAUAACCCAUCAGUCGUCCUGGCCAGCAUUACUCAUCCCAUUAUUCCUCAAAUCUCCAACUGGACUGAAUGUGACAGUGAGUCCGCCAUUCACACAGGGAGUGAGUCCUUCCUUUGGAAACUGGAGUUCAGGGUCAUUCUAGAUGGAGUUAUGGAGCCAACUUCCCUCAUGACUGCGUCAAAGCAAAGAGCCUUGGCUUGGUGGAUAUCCAGAGACCAGUCCAGUUCAUUCAUCAGAAGAACUGCACUGUCUGAGCCACCCCAGCAAGGGCACUGAUGAAAGGAAGGAGCAGAAGAUUCUUGCCAGAGAAGCAAAGAGGGGGAAAAAACAACACCCCACACAACUCAAAGAGCGUGGAGGGGACUGUAAAACUUUCAGAGAGCUGUGUCUUGAAAUACGAUCAAUCAUAAUUAACGAGGCUAAUUAAAUGCUUUCAAGAAUAUCUCCCAACUCCUGGACCUGGAGAUGGAACCAGGAUCCUCGGCUUGAUAGUACAGCACAUGC